rnacentral:tRNA from 1 species
ACCUGGCUGGCUCAGUCAGUAGAGCUUGAGAUUCUUGAUCUCAGAGUUGUGAGUUCAAGCCGCAUGUUGGGUG